rnacentral:ncRNA from 2 species
AAUUAUAGUAGAGGCGCAUGAUCAAAGAGUACAUUCACUGAAGGAUUAGGCCUGUUGAUGUGAAUGGAAAGGUGUGAUUGCCGAAAUAAGGAAUGACCUACUUUCAUUCUUUAUUGGGGCUGUUUCUGAAUAAGAGCAGUACUGUCAUACAUUUGUAUGGGGGGCUACAUGAAGG